rnacentral:lncRNA from 1 species
UGCUUUGAGGCUUGAGACAAAAAAGUAAUCAGGACGUCUGUUGCCAGGGGUGCAACCUUGUCAUUUAGCCCUCAUUCUUCCUCUCAGUACCUGGAGAAAGAAAAAAAGUGAGAGAGUGAAGAAAGAGAGGCACUGGCAUUUAAUGAUGUGCCCCAUUUCCACUCACCUCUGCUCAAAAGAGGUGCUCUUUUUUAGCAACGUCACUCUUAAUUGUCCAUCAUGCCCUCUAAUCAGAUCAUUAAGAACGUGACCCCGUUUUAGUGCAAACUUUAAUUAUCCUAGUGACUGGCAAGAGAAAAGUUGAGCCUUUAUGCAUAUACUUUAUCCAAAUGAUGGUAAAAGUCAAAGGCAGGGAUAAAAAAUGAAAGUAUUUGCAAUGCAUAUCACAGGCUGAAAAAUAACUGAAUGGGUAGAUGUGGUCUGAAGAGAGAAAAAAAAAAGAUAGUUGGAAAAUGGGGAAGGUGGGUCUUGUGUUUACCCUUCGUAAAACACGAUUCUCUCCGUGCACUUUUCAUUCCCCACAGGCGCUCGCAUCCUCACAUCCACAAAUAGGCACAAGUCAGAGGGCAGCGAGUUUGUAAAAUUGAGUCAAAUAUACAAAACAGCAAUAUUUAAUGACGUUUCUUUUUUCACACCAAGUGACCCCUGCAUGGAAAGCGAUCCGUUUUUUCUAAUUUUUUUUCCUCCGGUUUCAGGAAACUCUUGGAAGGCAAAAGCAACAUCCUGAGUUGGUGAGGAGACAGGAGAGGUGCUGACAUGCCGACAGGCAGGGGAUCCUGGGAAAAGCCACAGACAGGAAGAGCCUGACUGACUUUGACCCCUGAGGUCAAGGCUGGGGGCUCGGCAACUGAAAGAUGUUUCCAAGCCACACUCAGACUAUCAUAGAGUUUUACAGGAAAUAGCUCAGAAAUACUGUAUGCUGUGAAAAUGUGGGAGAUCUUUUUUAUUGCUUGCUCUUUUGUUUUGCUCCCUGUGACAUAAAAUGCAUUUUGGCCCUGAGCUAUAUUUGACUUAUUUGUUUGAGGGUUACCGUAUGUAAUUGAGUUGAGCUCAAGUCCAUUUCUCAUCUGUAUAAUGUGGAAAACAGUAUUUGUUCAGAGUGUGGAUGUGCCGUGACUAAUAGAAUUACAGAUAAUGGGAAAUGUGGAGAUUUAGAGUGGGACAAAAGCAGAGUGUGACUCUCCUGCUCCAAUUUCUGACAUGUGUUUCAAAUAGAGUGAAGUUUCUCGACUUUUUAAGGCUUUCUGUGGUCGGUCUCUGAAGGCCUUUUACAGUUAAACCAAAUUGGGUGAGAGGAGAUUGUCCUUUCCCCAGCUUUGCAGAAGGACCCAUAAAUCAAGGCAUCCAUCGUUUGUCACACCUCUGUCUCCCAGCUCGUGGCUCAGGCCCACCGUGUUCCAACUCUGAGUUUUUUACGGCACAAAUGUAUCCAUCAACCCCACCGAGUGGCCGCCAGCCGCCAAGCCGCCUCAGCGAUCGAUGGGUGCGAUGUACCCUCCCUCUCGGCCUGCGCGCCGCUCUCUCUGCGUGGGAAGGGGUAAGAGGAACCUCAUUUUAGCUGGUUUUAGCCUCGGGCCACUACUGUGAUUUUACCCCAUGCUCCUGGCCUGACGUCAUUAAAGAUGCAUGAUGAUGGAUACCAUGAAGUCAACCUCUCCGAGGGGGUUUUGAGGUGAAAAAAAAAAAAAAAAACCUUGCUUGUUUUUCAGAUCACACUAAGAAUAAAUCAAGACUGUUUAAAUGUAGAGGUUGCAACUGGAUGCAUGUGACUAAUCUUUCAAUGCACAUCAGAGGAGAGAGGAGGCAGGUAUUUAACGGUGAGGAGGCACGUUUUGACCAGUUGGUGGUGCUCCUGUCACAGUAAAUUCACCGGCUCGCCUCUCGCUGUGAUUCAGAUAAAUUCACUCUCUACUAUUUCUAAACCCAGAGUGGAGAAACACAAGACAAUGCUGCAAAUUUAGAUUUGAAAUCAAGACAUGCUUGAGAAAAUUGUUCCUUUUUCCCCCUUUUUUUUUUUUUGCAAUAGAAACUUGUAUUUGCUGUUGCUAAUUUUAGACUCUUUCACUCCCACUUUUCAUAAUCUGAUCCCCGUCUUCUCCUCCCACUACAUGUACAUGUUUAUAAGAUGAUGGAGGAUAUUCAUGAGGCCCUGCUGCACCAUAUUCCGAGGAAUUAAGAAAAAGUGAAUCCAUAUUCAUAAGCGUGUAAAGUUGGGUUUUAUCCGGGAAUCACAGUAUAGCAUUAAAAAGUUAAUGUUUCGCCGUGCGCAGCGCAGAAUCCAAGAAAUGUAACCUUGAAUUUGCUACUUGAAGUGUGAGUGCCUAAGUUCAAUGCACAAAUUUGAUAAAGUGUGUGUGUGUGUGUGUGUGUAAGUACUUUCAUGGUCGCUGAGUGUGUGUGUGUGUGUGUGUGUGUGUGUGUGUGUGUGUGUGUGCUGUGAGGAAUCAGUGCGUCUCUAAAGGGACUGACAGGGGAGACAUUUGACAGCUGUGCUCCUCGGGUUCAAAGGUCAUGUCAAGUCCUGGAUGAGCCCAAGGUAAAAUGCUUCACAGGGCUCGUACCGGUCAAUGGGUAUCGUUUGCCUCUCUAGCAAACAGGGUUUGGGCGGUAAUGGGACCUCAGUCAGAUGUCAGCGCCUGGAAGAAAAGUCAAAUACCAUGAGGCUACAUUUAUAACCUCCCAAAACAAAAGGAGAAAGUGAAAAGAUUGAACUUUUAAACUCCCCAAUUUAUAGCUUAAAGGUGUCAUAUGCAUCGGGAAACUCUCUAGGUAGCAUCCAUUAUCAGUCAACACCUCUCUCUUUUCUCUUCUCCCACUUUUCUCUUCUACUUUCUCCCUCCCCUUCCACUCCCGCGUUUCAGCUCUAACUGCAGUUUCCAGCAUCAGCCUUAACCGGCACGCGGUCCAUGCCGUCCCUGCUGGGGGAGUACAAUCCAGCCCCCUCACUGGAAGACCCUGAAAUAAGGCCUUUAUCAGCCAACCCCACACAGUAUCAGGGGGCCCUGGGCUCCUCCGGCAGCCUCUGAUGUGAAGGAGAGAUGGACGGAGCUCUGUGGUCCUCUGGUCGAGCACCAGAACAGGAUUCAGCCCAUUGUAGCAUUCAAAUUAAGCAGGCAUCAAAAGGGAAGAGGAAGCUGUUGUUGAUGUAUUGUCUCGUGUUAUUUUAACCGGCUUAACUCAAGCCUCUUCAUGGUGGAGUGUUGUGGCGCUGGAUGCCGAUGAUGAUAAGUGCUGGAUUCUCUGUUAAGACUGCUAAGCUGCUGUGCUGGCUGAACAGGGGGGCUCUGGCUUGGUUGGCUGUCGUGGCUGAUUUUGGCUGUGGUUGAACCGUUUCAAUAGGUUACCACGGAUUUAUCCACUCAAAACCGCUGACUUGGCUGUCCGCGUACAGCCUCUUCAUGUCACCAGUGGGACCUCUGUUUAUUUCAUAAUGCUGACAUUUUUUAGAGGAGAUUUGAUGAAAAAUUAAAGUUCAACACAACAACACUGAAACUUCUUUUUUUUUUUUUUGAGUUAGUUAGUUAGACAGUUUUCAAACUGCAGAUGCGAAAUCAACAAACAAACUUUUCUCAAAUUAAAAACUUCUCCGCUUUUGGAGCGUCUUGACUAUUUACAGUGUUAUAAAAACCAACUGCACACUUUCUGGGCCUUCAAAUUCCAAACAAACGCAGGCCUCUUUUUAAUAAUGACACCAAUAACAUGUAAAUAGCCGCCAUAAACAUACAUGUGAGGGGAAAUAUGUUUUCUAUAGAGUUAAAUUGCAGCGUUUUAUUUACUGGAUUGGUGAAUAAUCACCCUGUAAAAACAGUUCAGUCAGCUCUGAGUACUUGUGAAUCGCUCUCUCCAUUCUGCGCUGAAAGCUGUCUAUUUAAUUUCUCUCGUCUGUCCUCAGAGCAGUAGCUAUUAAGUGCCUUCAUAUGUCAAGCCACUGACACCUCCUCCAUUCUCUUCAGCUUGUUUAAGCGUGCCCCUGCAUUGUUGCCCGCCGUGCUUGACGUGUUAAUAGCUUAAUAACGUAAUCUGGCAAAUAAUGACACCUCAUCACAAAGAGCGAGGCCAAAUGUUUACAAGGAGAGCCGUAAUGUAUGAUGACAGUAAUCUGAAUAAAAAUGAAUUUACUGCCAUCGUCUCAUUUGCAGUAAAUUUUCACUUCUUCCAUGCACAACUGAUGCUCCGCGGACACCUUUUCCGUCUUUGCUCUCUAGCUGUCUCAUUACCCGGGCCUUUCAAGUGCUGGGAGAAAGGGAGAAAAGAGAUGGAGAAAGGGGUGAGGGUGUGAGAGAGGAAAAAGAGGAGGGGGAGAGAAAAGAAGGGGGUAAAAGGGAAGGAGACAGAGAGGGCAAGGAGGAGAGAGGCACUGAUAGAGCUUGUUAUUUUCAAAGCCCUUCUCCUCUCUAUUGUUUGGAGCGAGGAAUAAGGAAAAAAGGGAGAAGUUCACACCGAUUUCAAAAAGUCUCACUUCCUUUUUGACAGAUGUGGUGUCAGCUUUGCUGUUUAAUUAAAAGGAAAUGAAGGUGAUGAUUGCAACACAGACGUGAUCUGAUAUGAUAAUGUAUUUACAAUCAUCAAGAUGAUCGUCAUUAAGGAUGUGUCAAGGACGAAUUCAUUGUGGGAUUUGGGGUCCUGAGCUGUCAAGUGUAUUUUUCUGAGGCGGUGGUGAGAUUGUCAGGAGGAUGCCGAGAGUAUGACAGUCACAAUUAAUAAUUUGCUAAAAGAAUGUGAUUGAGUUUUAUACACAGUUUUGUCAUGGCUAUUUCCAAAGCCCAGGACGUUCACAGCAGCCGUUUGUGUGUGAGAGAAAGAGAGAGAGAGAGAGAGAGAGAGAGAGAGAGAGAGAGAGAGAGAGAGAGAGAGAGAGGCCCAGCUCAGACUGGAACAAGAGAUGAAAAUACCCUUGAUACAUAUGCUGCAUGGGAUUCUAUUAUUAAAUGACUUUGAAUUAUUUUAUGCACGCUGGCUUGCAUUUUUCAUAAGAGGUGCAUAUGGAAGGUUCAUCAAAACAAAUUGUUCGAUUUUGACAAUUACUACAACAAUCAGCGCUGUCUUUGGCUGCACCUGUUUGAAAAUGAAUAAUUUGAAGUCAUUUUAAUUGCUUAUGUGACAGCUAAUCAUCAAGGCAUUAAUUUAUUUAUCGAGCUUCAUUUGAACUUCCUCCUUAGUGAUAACAUAUCCAGCCUUACUCUCUAGAGUCACAAGAUACUGAUUAAACUGUAGCAACCUCCUUCAGUAUUAUGCAGAUGCCGGGGAGUGAGCCCUGGAGUGGCUGCAAUAAUAAGAUGCAUGAUCCAGGCUAAGUCAAGAUGAACCGUGCAUCGGUCAGAAAAAAAGAAGUAGAAAUAACUUGUUGAUUUAAAUCACGAUAUUUUAAGCGAAAUUUUCUCCCGCCAGGAGGCAGCUGUCGAGCUGAACGGUGAUUAUCCUCCGAAUGAAGAUUUCCAAACAUGCCUUUAAUGCCGUUUUCAUCAGGUGACCCAAAAAUCCAACAUUCCUAAACACUGGAUUGUGUUCCCUAAAUCAAAAGACAAACUCGAUAGUGUCGAGUUAUGUGACAACACACACAAAGUGAGGAACAUCUGCCCCAAAACUCUCAGAGAAGCGGAGCAUUAGCCUGAAUGUUUCUAGCUGCUGGUGGCUCAUCUGCAGUUGGUGGUGUGCCGGGAUUGGUGCGAUGGCUAUGGGGAAAUCAGCCACUGUUCUCUCUCUCUGGGUCCCAAGCAUGGCCAUUAACUGACUGCCAGCAGCUCUGGGAAGAGGAACAACAGAUGCCAGCAACUGAAAAGCCUCCAGCUCUUCAGCUAAACCAAUCCCAACUGAGUCGGGACGGGCCUCUGUAGAUUUUUGGACAUACAGCGAACAAAUGUGGACAUGAAAGGGGGAAGAGGAGGGCUGUUCUGGAGGUAAAGAUUUGUUAACCCUCUUGAACUUGACAAGAGACGGGACCGAGGCACAGAUUAGCCCUCUCAAAGCUGGCUUUUUCGCAAAAGGUUGCUGUGUGAAUAUGUGAAUGUUGGUGUGAAGUGGCGCGCACAUAUGCUUGUGUGUUUGUGCGCGCUUGUGUUCAAACAACUUUGCCUGUUUGCACAUUCUAUAUGCAGACACGUACAGGCGUUAUGGCGGCGGCACAUUAAAUGGCACAUAAUUACAGUGGUGAAACCAUUUAAUUAUAAUGUAAUUACAUUUUACUUCUCUGUCAUUAUCAUAUCCGUUCUCGAGUAAAAGAUUUCCUUUCUUGGCGGAUUUCAUUGUAGCCGUUUGGCUGCGUGGUUGUGAAGCUCCACCUCAGCUUCAUUUCUUCCUGUUAAGGAAAAGAAUGUGUGUCCACCCUCAGAAAAAGAAAAGAAAAAAAAUCUCCACAUGUUUAAACAAUUCAAAAACUUGUCUUCUGGCUGGAAAUACGUAAUGAGGCCUACGAAUUAAGGUGCUAAUGCUACCUCGGGGUGCAGAGUUCAUGUGCUUGAACAUUACAUUACACUUAAGCAAAGACACAUGAGAGAAGUCAAACGAUUCUGACCACAUCAGGCUGCACAGCGACGAGGAAAAUCAGGGAAAUGACGGGACGGUGGAGUAGGAAGUGGAGGUGGGAGAUCUGGGGUGGGGUGGGGUGGGUUGGGGAGGUAGGGGGGCAAGAAAGCA